rfam:Pelagicola litorisediminis strain CECT 8287 genome assembly, contig: 0001
UAGCCGAUGCCAAGCUGCCUGACAUGCAGGCCGGAUGGGAAAUGAUGUGCUCGAACGUCAUGGCGGGGCUUUCGGGCCUCAACAUGGUGUAUGAAGCCG